CAGAUGCAUGGUGUGAUUCUCUGACUGGAAAAUGAACCCGGGCUGUGGUGGUGAGAAUGCUGAAUCUUAACCACUAGACCACCAGAGCUGGUCAUGUGCCA